rnacentral:rRNA from 1 species
AUGAACGCUAGCUACAGGCUUAACACAUGCAAGUCGAGGGGCAGCAUUUUAGUUUGCUUGCAAACUAAAGAUGGCGACCGGCGCACGGGUGAGUAACACGUAUCCAACCUGCCGAUAACUCGGGGAUAGCCUUUCGAAAGAAAGAUUAAUAUCCGAUAGUAUAUUAAAACCGCAUGGUUUUACUAUUAAAGAAUUUCGGUUAUCGAUGGGGAUGCGUUCCAUUAGUUUGUUGGCGGGGUAACGGCCCACCAAGACUACGAUGGAUAGGGGUUCUGAGAGGAAGGUCCCCCACAUUGGAACUGAGACACGGUCCAAACUCCUACGGGAGGCAGCAGUGAGGAAUAUUGGUCAAUGGACGAGAGUCUGAACCAGCCAAGUAGCGUGAAGGAUGACUGCCCUAUGGGUUGUAAACUUCUUUUAUAUGGGAAUAAAGUAUUCCACGUGUGGAAUUUUGUAUGUACCAUAUGAAUAAGGAUCGGCUAACUCCGUGCCAGCAGCCGCGGUAAUACGGAGGAUCCGAGCGUUAUCCGGAUUUAUUGGGUUUAAAGGGAGCGUAGGUGGAUUGUUAAGUCAGUUGUGAAAGUUUGCGGCUCAACCGUAAAAUUGCAGUUGAAACUGGCAGUCUUGAGUACAGUAGAGGUGGGCGGAAUUCGUGGUGUAGCGGUGAAAUGCUUAGAUAUCACGAAGAACUCCGAUUGCGAAGGCAGCUCACUAGACUGCAACUGACACUGAUGCUCGAAAGUGUGGGUAUCAAACAGGAUUAGAUACCCUGGUAGUCCACACAGUAAACGAUGAAUACUCGCUGUUUGCGAUAUACAGUAAGCGGCCAAGCGAAAGCAUUAAGUAUUCCACCUGGGGAGUACGCCGGCAACGGUGAAACUCAAAGGAAUUGACGGGGGCCCGCACAAGCGGAGGAACAUGUGGUUUAAUUCGAUGAUACGCGAGGAACCUUACCCGGGCUUAAAUUGCAUUUUAAUAAUCUGGAAACAGGUUAGCCGCAAGGCAAAUGUGAAGGUGCUGCAUGGUUGUCGUCAGCUCGUGCCGUGAGGUGUCGGCUUAAGUGCCAUAACGAGCGCAACCCUUAUCUUUAGUUACUAACAGGUCAUGCUGAGGACUCUAGAGAGACUGCCGUCGUAAGAUGUGAGGAAGGUGGGGAUGACGUCAAAUCAGCACGGCCCUUACGUCCGGGGCUACACACGUGUUACAAUGGGGGGUACAGAAGGCAGCUACCUGGUGACAGGAUGCUAAUCCCAAAAACCUCUCUCAGUUCGGAUCGAAGUCUGCAACCCGACUUCGUGAAGCUGGAUUCGCUAGUAAUCGCGCAUCAGCCAUGGCGCGGUGAAUACGUUCCCGGGCCUUGUACACACCGCCCGUCAAGCCAUGAAAGCCGGGGGUACCUGAAGUACGUAACCGCAAGGAGCGUCCUAGGGUAAAACUGGUAAUUGGGGCU